rnacentral:tRNA from 1 species
AUUAAUGUGGCAGAUUAAGUGCAUUGAAUUUAAGCUUCAAUUAUAGAAUAUUUUCUUUUUAAUA